rnacentral:rRNA from 1 species
UAACGCGUGGGCAACCUGCCUUACACAGGGGGAUAACAGUUAGAAAUGACUGCUAAUACCGCAUAAGACCACAUUGCCGCAUGGCAGGGUGGUAAAAACUCCGGUGGUGUAAGAUGGGCCCGCGUCUGAUUAGGUAGUUGGCAGGGUAGAGGCCUACCAAGCCUACGAUCAGUAGCCGGCCUGAGAGGGUGGGCGGCCACAUUGGGACUGAGACACGGCCCAAACUCCUACGGGAGGCAGUAGUGGGGAAUAUUGCACAAUGGGGGAAACCCUGAUGCAGCGACGCCGCGUGAGUGAGGAAGUAUUUCGGUAUGUAAAGCUCUAUCAGCAGGGAAGAAAAUGACGGUACCUGACUAAGAAGCCCCGGCUAACUACGUGCCAGCAGCCGCGGUAAUACGUAGGGGGCAAGCGUUAUCCGGAUUUACUGGGUGUAAAGGGAGCGUAGACGGAGGAGCAAGUCUGAUGUGAAAAUCCGGGGCCCAACCCCGGAACUGCAUUGGAAGCUGUUUAUCUAGAGUGUCGGAGAGGCAAGUGGAACUCCUAGUGUAGCGGUGAAAUGCGUAGAUAUUAGGAGGAACACCAGUGGCGAAGGCGGCUUGCUGGACGAUGACUGACGUUGAGGCUCGAAAGCGUGGGGAGCAAACAGGAUUAGAUACCCUGGUAGUCCACGCCGUAAACGAUGACUACUAGGUGU